GUGGUGCCACCGUGCACUGCGCACACGUAUAAACCCCAAAGGCGUAGACAACUCGAACAAGUCUAGGGAUUACGGGCUCGGCACUGGCGCAAGCCUUCGUCGGGCCCCUCCAUCCCGGGGUGUCCCAUCCGGCGGGCUUUCGGGCCCGUUGUGGGCAUCCCUCGAGUGCGUAGGAUGCGACCCGAAAGAUGGUGAACUAUGCCUGAUCAGGCCGAAGUCAGGGGAAACCCUGAUGGAGGGCCGAAGCAAUUCUGACGUGCAAAUCGAUUGUCAGAGUUGGGCAUAGGGGCGAAAGACCAAUC
rnacentral:rRNA from 1 species